rnacentral:rRNA from 1 species
CGCCUGUUUAUCAAAAACAUGUCCUUUAGAAAAAUAUUAAAGGUCUAUUCUGCCCAAUGAUAUUUUAAUGGCCGCGGUAAUUUGACCGUGCAAAGGUAGCAUAAUAAUUAGUCUUUUAAUUGAAGGCUUGAAUGAAUGAAUGGAUGAAAAAUUUUCUUUUUUGAUUAAGUUAAAUUGAAUUUAGAAUUUAAGUAAAAAAUCUUAAAUAAAUAAGUGGGACGAGAAGACCCUAUAGAAUUUUAAAUAAAUUUAUUUUACUAGAAAUUAGAAUUAAUAACUGGAAAAUUAUUUUAUUUUUUGUUGGGGUGACAUUAUAAUAAAUAAAACUUUAAAUAAAUUUUUCAUAAAUUAAUGUUUAAUUGAUCCAAUUUUUUGAUUAAAAGAUUAAAUUACCUUAGGGAUAACAGCGUUAUUAGUUUGGAGAGUUCAUAUCGAUAAAUUAGAUUGCGACCUCGAUGUUGGAUUAAGAAAAGAGUUUAGAGCAAAAUUUAAAUAUUCUAGGUCUGUUCGACCUUUAAUUUCUUACAUGAUCUGAGUUCAAACCGGAG